AACGAGAUUCACCGCGCCUCUCAAAAUCGCAUCGCUCCGCUUCGUAAACGCACUUAUCGAUCAGUUCCGCGAGCGCCCCUAACGGCCACACGUGACUCGUGGCGUUACCUGCGCUCAAAAACGACGCGACGCUCCGCAUCAGUCAGUCUUCAGUCUCCGCGACUCGCCGUCUCCGCGAUCGUCCCGAUUCUCCGCGAUCGCGCGCCGCUUUCCCCGCGUUUCCCCCUCACAUCUCUCACGCACUCUUCAGCAUCCGCGGGUGCGCCUUCGAGUGUUCCAUAGCUCGCGCAUCUCUCUGUCGAUCCACGUCGAACGUCACUCCGGGAGCCGUCGCGCGCUCUUCCUCCUCCUCGCCGUCCCGUUCGUCGCCGACGCGUUCCAGCCCCGCCAGCUCCACGCGUUGUGGUUUUUGCUUCCGUCUCUGCGUCGUUCCGUCCCGGUCCCACCGUCAGUCGUCCGCGACGCGCGAAACCGUCGCAUCCGUCUCCUCCCGCGUCCGCGUCGCGCGUCGCGCGCGCGCGCCGCGACGGUCGCACCAUUCCGCUCGACGUUCGCCCGCGCGCGUCCCGUCGCGAACCGAUUCACGAAAACCCGCGUCGACGCGCCGAUCCCGCGAAUCGCCCGCCGUCGCGCGCGCUCGCGGCGCAAUAAUUUAACCCGCGCGUCGCGUCGCGCGCGCGACGUCGUUCGCGCG
rnacentral:lncRNA from 1 species